rnacentral:misc_RNA from 1 species
UACGGAGGGUGCAAGCGUUAUCCGGAUUUAUUGGGUUUAAAGGGUGCGUAGGCGGAAUGAUAAGUCAGUGGUGAAAGCCUGCGGCUUAACCGUAGAAUUGCCAUUGAUACUGUCGUUCUUGAGUGCAGUUGAAGUGAGCGGAAUGUGGCAUGUAGCGGUGAAAUGCAUAGAUAUGCCACAGAACACCGAUUGCGAAGGCAGCUCACUAAGCUGCAACUGACGCUGAUGCACGAAAGCGUGGGGAGCGAACAGG